rnacentral:lncRNA from 1 species
GGGAAAGCCAAACUGAGAAUGACGGGAAGAAGGAGGGUGGAGUCAGGGGACUUGCCAGGAGCCACAGAGGGAGCAGGACAUGCUGGAGGACAGGGUGGACUCUGCCUGUCAAGUAGGCACGGAAGAAGACACACUACCUGGAAAAGACAGCUGCCCCAGAGUUUCCCCACAGACAGCCCCUGCCCAGGUGGUGUGACCUUAGUGACAUGUCUCACUACUCUCUGCCCUGUCCACGUCUCUGCCACUGCCCCCCUACAGGCACCAUAUAUCAGGGCAGUCCACCAUAUCAAGAUUUCCCCUGUGCCCCUACCUGCCACCUGCAUUGCUUCGGCUGUUUGUGUCGUUCCUCAAAUCAGGGACAACACCUUUGUUCUUGCCAGUGGUGCUUCUGCUACCUCCUUUCUCAGCGUGAGAUUACUGGGGGGACUCCAGCCUCUUGGGGUACAUUGUUCCAAUAAUCUGAUAGGCAAAAUAAGGAUGUCAACACAAAACCCACAGCUCUCAUCUUAAAGGGAGUAAGAGAUAGUUUAUUGUGGAGCCCUUUUGAGUGUCCAUGGCCUGAGAAUAUAGAUACAGGUUACCCCAAUUUACACAUUUCAAUGUGGGAGCAGUUCCAUGCUGUUUUUAUAGUUUUACAGAACAAAGAACGUCAUGAAGCAAAGUAAGUUGACAAUAUGGUGGUGGGUACACCAGAGAGGCAGGUACAACAAGAUGGAGGAAGAUUUUCUAUAGGCCCAAGAUGCUAUCUG